rnacentral:rRNA from 1 species
UACAGAGGCCCCAAGCGUUACUGAGAAUCACUGGGUUUAAAGGGUGCGUAGGUGGCGCGUUAAGUCCGUUGUGAAAGCCCUGGGCUCAACCCAGGAACUGCUUCGGAUACUGGCGCGCUUGAGGCUAGUAGGGGUCACUGGAACUGACGGUGGAGCGGUGAAAUGCGUAGAUAUCGUCAGGAACGCCAAUGGUGAAGACAGGUGACUGGGCUAGUUCUGACACUGAGGCACGAAAGCGUGGGGAUCAAACAGG